AUACGUAGGUGGCAAGCGUUGUCCGGAAUUACUGGGUGUAAAGGGAGCGUAGGCGGGAAGGCAAGUCAGAUGUGAAAUCCACAGGCUUAACUUGUGACGUGCAUUUGAAACUGUUUUUCUUGAGUGAAGUAGAGGCAGGCGGAAUUCCGAGGGUAGCGGUGAAAGGCGUAGAUAUUCGGAGGAACGCCAGUGGCGAAGGCGGCCUGCUGGGGUUUUACUGACGCUGAGGCUCGAAAGCAUGGGUAGCAAACAGGAUUAGAUACCCUGGUAGUCCAUGCCGUAAACGAUGAUUGCUAGGUGUGGGUGGGCUGACCCCAUCCGUGCCGGAGUAAACACAAUAAGCAAUCCACCUGGGGAGUACGGCCGCAAGGUUGAAACUCAAAGGAAUUGACGGG
rnacentral:rRNA from 1 species